rnacentral:rRNA from 1 species
CCCUUAGAUGUUCUGGGCCGCACGCGUGCUACACUGAGUGGAUCAGCGGGUCAGGUUGCGCGAAAGUGUUUCCUAAUCUUGAAAUCCGCUCGUGAUGGGGAUUGACGGUUGCAAUUUUCCGUCAUGAACGAGGAAUACCUUGUAAGCGCGGGUCAUCAUCCCGCGCUGAAUACGUCCCUGCCCUUUGUACACACCGCCCGUCGCUCCUACCGAUUGAGUGGUCCGGUGAGUUGACAGGAGGAUUUUUUUGAAACUGGUUCGCCAGUGGAUUUUAGAUCCAAAUGCCAACGAAUCGAUGGCUUUAGAGGAAGGAGAAGUCGUAACA